rnacentral:rRNA from 1 species
GACGAACGCUGGCGGCGUGCCUAACACAUGCAAGUCGAACGGACGAGAGGAGCUUGCUCCUCGAGUUAGUGGCGAACGGGUGAGUAACGCGUGAGCAACCUGCCUUUCAGUGGGGGACAACAGUUGGAAACGACUGCUAAUACCGCAUAAAGCUAUUUAGGGGCAUCCCUGGGUAGCCAAAGAUAUAUUGCUGAAAGAUGGGCUCGCGUCUGAUUAGCUAGAUGGCGGGGUAACGGCCCACCAUGGCGACGAUCAGUAGCCGGACUGAGAGGUUGAACGGCCACAUUGGGACUGAGAUACGGCCCAG